rnacentral:rRNA from 1 species
AGAUUGAACGCUGGCGGCAGGCCUAACACAUGCAAGUCGAGCGGCAGCACGGGUACUUGUACCUGGUGGCGAGCGGCGGACGGGUGAGUAAUGCCUAGGAAUCUGCCUGAUAGUGGGGGAUAACGUUCGGAAACGGACGCUAAUACCGCAUACGUCCUACGGGAGAAAGUGGGGGAUCUUCGGACCUCACGCUAUCAGAUGAGCCUAGGUCGGAUUAGCUAGUUGGUAGGGUAAAGGCCUACCAAGGCUACGAUCCGUAACUGGUCUGAGAGGAUGAUCAGUCACACUGGAACUGAGACACGGUCCAGACUCCUACGGGAGCAGCAGUGGGGGAAUAUUGGACAAUGGGCGAAAGCCUGAUCCAGCCAUGCCGCGUGUGUGAAG